UCCAGGAUACCAAGUGCCAUCUACAACACCAACUUAAGGAAGCGAAACGUGUUACUGGUAGCAGUGAUAAAUAAGCAACCCCUUGUCAUUGAGAAAUUAAGGAAGAUAAUAUCGACUUCGAAACCAAAAGUUUGGGAGAACAUGGUGCUGGCAACAGAUUAUAAGGAGAACACAAUGUUGCACUUAGCGGCAAAACAGCCUCUUGGCAAGGACAAGCCUUGGGGCAUAGCUGGCUCUGCUUUGCAAAUGAUGUGGGAAAUCAAGUGGUUUAAGUAUAUUAAUGACAUUGUUCCGGAACACUUUUACUUCAGAAAUAACAAUG